rnacentral:lncRNA from 1 species
AUGCGGUCUUCCAUAGCGUCAGCGGCUACGGCGGGGCAGCUUUCCAGUGGCUAUUCUGAAAUGCCAAAGAGACACAAUGUUAGAUCACCUGGGAAAAGCCGCUGCAAUCUCUGAAUGACCAAGUCGUCCAUUCAUAUCCAUCCCGCCUAUUAUAAGGAGUUUGAAUCAGUUCAUGUGGAAGCCAGCUUUACAGACUACUUCCAGAGCAGCAAAACUACUGGUAAAACAAACCUAUGAUUAAUUCCCCUUUUUAUCCCUUUAAUUGUGUCAUAGUCAUAUU